rnacentral:rRNA from 1 species
GACAGAGGGUGCAAACGUUGUUCGGAAUUACUGGGCGUAAAGCGUGCGCAGGCGGUUCGUUGUGUCUGAUGUGAAAGCCCCGGGCUUAACCUGGGAAUGGCAUUGGAAACUGGCGAGCUGGAGUGUGGCAGAGGGGGGUGGAAUUCCGCGUGUAGCAGUGAAAUGCGUAGAGAUGCGGAGGAACACCGAUGGCGAAGGCAGCCCCCUGGGCCAACACUGACGCUCAGGCACGAAAGCGUGGGGAGCAAACAGG